CCUACGGGGGGCAGCAGUGAGGAAUAUUGGUCAAUGGACGAGAGUCUGAACCAGCCAAGUAGCGUGAAGGAUGACUGCCCUAUGGGUUGUAAACUUCUUUUAUAUGGGAAUAAAAUGUUCCACGUGUGGGAUUUUGUAUGUACCAUAUGAAUAAGGAUCGGCUAACUCCGUGCCAGCAGCCGCGGUAAUACGGAGGAUCCGAGCGUUAUCCGGAUUUAUUGGGUUUUAAGGGAGCGUAGGUGGAUUGUUAAGUCAGUUGUGAAAGUUUGCGGCUCAACCGUAAAAUUGCAGUUGAAACUGGCAGUCUUGAGUACAGUAGAGGUGGGCGGAAUUCGUGGUGUAGCGGUGAAAUGCUUAGAUAUCACGAAGAACUCCGAUUGCGAAGGCAGUUCACUGGACUGCAACUGACACUGAGGCUCGAAAGUGUGGGUAUCAAACAGGAUUAGAUACCCCUGUAGUC
rnacentral:rRNA from 1 species